CAGGUGCACACCACUGGGACCAGCACUAAGGACCGUGUGAGGCCAAGUCAUUCAGCUACCCGUGCCACGAAAGUGUAGGGCCAGAGGACAGAAUCCAGGCAGUGUCGGGUACAGGAAAGGACGAAGGUAGUUAAGGAGAAACAGGCUUGACAGUACAUAGCGGUCUCUUUUCUGGGUUUUGGUGUUUGUUGUUGUUGUUUUGUUUUUUUGGUUUGGUUUGGUUUGGUUUUGGCUUUUCAAGACAAGGUCCCUCUGGCUGUCCUAGAACUCAGAUCCACCUGCGUCCACCUCGAGUACUGGGAUUAAAGGCGUUUGCCGGACUGGUUUUGUUUCUGAGACAGAGUCCAGAGCUACAUAACUCUGGCUGUCCUGGAACUCACUAUGUAGACCAGACCAGACUGGCCUUGAACCCAGAGAUCCACCUGUUUCUGCCCACCCAGAGUGUUGGCGUUGAAGUUCUGACGGCUAAGAAGUUCAAGAUCAAGACACUGGCUGUUUAGAAGGCUGGUUGUUGUGUAAUAGUUUCCUCCAAGAUUAAAACAGUCCAUCCUGCAGGAAGCUCCUUAAAGCAGGAAGAUGUACAACUCAAAACAGCUUCCGAAGUCCCUGAAACUGACUAGAUUCACGAGGCCCCUCCCUGCCCGAGUAUACAGUUAAAGCUGAAAUACCCCUCAGAUCUAGAGAGCUGUGCUGUAAAGUCUCAGACAAACCAAGCUGCCAAGAAAACCAGCCGUCCUGCCUGGAAGAGGUUUAGACCAACUGAGGCACCUGGAGGGACCCUCUUCCACCUGCUGGGCUGCCCGCAGGCUGUGCAGUGUGCUGCAGGAUCCUGUCUUUGUGAGCUGUCACCCGCGCUGGGGUGGGCCUUGGUGAUACAGCUGUCUUUGAGUCGUUUCUGCCCCGUAUUCCUGUAAGUAAUUUCAAUAAAACUUACGGUUCACCAA